rnacentral:rRNA from 1 species
UAACACAUGCAAGUCGAAUGGGAAAGCGGAGUAAUCCGCAAGUAUAGUGGCGUAUGGGUGAGUAAUACGUGGAUAACCUGUCUUUAAGUGGGGGAUAACAUUUCGAAAGAGGUGUUAAUACCGCAUAAUACACUGGGACAGAAGGACUGGUGUUAAAAGGGGUAAGACGCUUAAAGAGGGGUCCGCGGCUGAUUAGCUAGUUGGUAAGGUAAUGGCUUACCAAGGCGAUGAUCAGUAGCCGUCCUGAGAGGGAGCACGGCCACACUGGAACUGAGAUAUGGUCCAGACUCCUAUGGGAGGCAGCAGUGGGGAAUUUUUGGUAAUGGGGGAAACCCUGACCAAGCAACGCCGCGUGGGUGAUGAAGUAUUUUGGUACGUAAAGCCCUUUCGGCAGGGAUGAAAAAAAUGAUGGUACCUGCGGAAGAAGCUCCGGUUAACUCCGUGCCAGUAGUUGUGGUAAUACGGGGGGAGCAAGCGUUGUUCGGAAUUAUUGGGCGUAAAGGGCGCGUAGGCGGUUGGAUAAGUUGGUGGUGAAAGCCCAGGGUUUAACUCUGGGAUUGCCAUCGAUACUGUCCGGCUAGAGAGUGGGAGAGGAUAGUGGAAUUCCUGGUGUAGCGGUGAAAUGCGUAGAUAUCAGGAGGAACACCGGCGGCGAAGGCGGCUAUCUGGACCACCACUGACGCUGAGGCGCGAAAGCCAGGGGAGUAAACAGGAUUAGAUAUCCUGGUAGUCCUGGCUGUAAAUGAUGGAUACUUGCUGUGGCAGGGGUUAAACCCUGCUGUGGCGGCGUUAAUGCAUUAAGUAUCCCGCCUGGGGAGUACGGUCGUAAGUUUGAAACUCAAAGGAAUUGACGGGGGCCCGCACAAGCGGUGGAGCAUGUGGUUCAAUUCGACGCAAUGCGAAGAAUCUUACCUGGGCUUGAACUGUGGUGGAAGCAAGCAGAGAUGUUUGUGUCUCGUAAGAGACUGCCACAGAGGUGCUGUAAGGCUGUCGUCAGCUCGUGUCGUGAGAUGUUGGGUUAAGUCCCGCAACGAGCGCAACCCUUGUCCUUAGUUGCUAACAGGUAAAGCUGAGAACCCUAAGGAGACUGCUGGUGAUAAACCGGAGGAAGGUGGGGAUGACGUCAAGUCCUUAUGGCCUUUAUGUCCAGGGCUACACACGUGCUAUAAUGGGCGGUAUAAAGAGUUGCAAACCCGUGAGGGGGAGCUAAUCUCAAAAAACCGUUUUCAGUUUGGAUUGCAGUCUGUAAUUUGACUGCAUGAAGCUGGAAUCACUAGUAAUCGCGGAUUAGUAUGCCGCGGUGAAUAUGUUCCCGGGCCUUGUAUAUAUUGCCCGUCACAUUAUGAAAGCUGGUUGUACUAGAAGUUGCUGAGCUAAUCCGUAAGGAAGGCAGGCGCCCAAGGUAUGACUAGUGAUUGGGGUGAAG